rnacentral:tRNA from 1 species
GGAUUGUGGCUCAAUGGUAGAGGACUCGCCUAGAACAUGUUAGGCCCUGGGUUCAAUCCUCAGCACCA